CACGUAGGGUGCGAGCGUUGUCCGGAAUUAUUGGGCGUAAAGAGCUCGUAGGCGGUGUGUCGCGUCGGCCGUGAAAUCCCGAGGCUCAACCUCGGGUCUGCAGUCGAUACGGGCAAACUAGAGUAUUGCAGGGGAGACUGGAAUUCCUGGUGUAGCGGUGAAAUGCGCAGAUAUCAGGAGGAACACCGGUGGCGAAGGCGGGUCUCUGGGCCGAUACUGACGCUGAGGAGCGAAAGCGUGGGGAGCGAACAGG
rnacentral:rRNA from 1 species